rnacentral:lncRNA from 1 species
CGACGCUUAGCUUUUUGCUACGGAGUAGUGACCAAACAAUCACCCUGUCUCCUGCCCCCGGCGGCCGCGCGCGCGCGGUGGUUGGCCGGCCCGGCUCACCGGCCGGCAGACCGCCGUGUCCAUGCCCAAUUAAUUCCGGCAACGCUCCGUACGCAAUCGCCCAGCGGCUCGCUCGGUCGCGCACCACGCGAGUACGCGGCUUUCGCGCGGUCACAGGGUUUACAUGGAUAAUGGAUUUCUUUUUUCUCCCGGAGAUCGAGAUCGAAGACGUCGCCAUGACAGGUGAGUCGUGGCUCGCGACAGCUGGUAUCACUGAAGUAAUUAAGGUCGUCUUCGUUGUAUAGGAUUUUCGUGGGUCUAUUUCGUUUCGUUUUGAUGGAGUUUUAUUUAUUUGGAGGAAUUGAACUAUCUCUUUUGAAAAUCUUGCCCCACUGUCGUGUUCUCGUGAGGAUCCGAAAGGGUACGUAGCGAGCCAACUCAUUUCGAGCAGGAGUGAUGAUUUGAAGCUUUUAGUUUCUGUGUGUUUGAAAAGCUGUCAGAAUUUAAGAUGAAUUUCCACAAGUGCGGUUCUGUUUUUGACCAGGCUAAGAGCAGGGACGAUAACAUGUUAUAAGCCAGUUUUAAGCAUAUUUUAAAAAGAAGAGAGAAAAGAGGUGGACUACUAAUUUAUAGUCAGCUGCACACGGGUUGCAAGAUAAAAAUAUAUGUAUGCAUGUAGGACCAUAUAUUGAUGUUUUGUAGGUAACUAUUAUAUGAAUUGACUAUUAGAUUGACUAUAGAUGAAUUAGAGCUAGUAGUUGACUGUACUAUUGAACUUGCUCUAAAGAAUAUUAACGACAUUAUUCUCAUUUCAUUGGAUAUCAAAUUGAAAAUUUUCUUUUUCGAUAUUUGGGUAUUCCAAUUCACUUUAGGGAGAAACGAUCAAAUAAGGAUUGGAACGUGAAAGAGGGAAGAAUUACCGAAAAGAAGUUAAGCAAUUGGGAAGGAAAAAUAUGUCAGUAGGUGGGAGACUGGUUAUGAUAAACUCAGUUUUAACGAGUCUUAUCAUGUUUAUGAUUUUUUUUCGAAGUUCCUAUAGAAGCACUUUGAAAAAAAAUGAUUGUUACAGUUUUUUUUGGGGGGGAAAGUGGCAACAAUAAAAAAUACACUGUUUUGUCUAAAUGGGGCGUCAUUUGUCAACUGAAGGAUCAAGAGGGACUUGGUAUAAAGAAUAUAGAUAUAGAAAAUCAAUGUCUUUUAAGUAAAUGGUUAUUUAAGUUAGUAAAUGAGGAUGGUAUAUGACAAAAGUUUCUUAGAAGAAAAUAUAUUAAGAAUUAGGCAAUAACGUGUGUUAAAAAGAAACUAGGUUAUUCUUAUUUUUGGUCAGGGCUUAUGAAAGUUAAAGACAAGUAUUUUUGAUGUUAACAAUAAACAUGUCAGAUUUCGGGAGGAUAAGUGACUUGGUAUUCUUCUUGCUUCGUUAUAUAACAUUGUUUGCAAAAAAAAAAAAAUGCUUUGGUAGCAACUAUAUGAAUUCGAUGUCUCUAAAUAUUCCUUUUAGAACAGCUUUAGUAUCGCAUAAUCUCAUGUCAUGGGGUAUAAUUUGGUCGCUAAGCUUGUGUAUGUCAGUCUAAAUGAGGAUGAACAUUAAUUUCUUUUUGUUCGAUCGGUGUAUUCACCGUUGAUUAAUAAUUGGUUAUAUAGGGAGAAACAAGUUGUUGUGGAAAGCCAAAGUGCAUUUGAAAAUUAAAAUUUUCUUGUGGUACUUGUCCAAAGGCAUUAUUUUAACAAAAGAUAAUUUGGCAAAAAGGAAAUGGAAUGUUAGUAUAUAUGAAAUGAUGAAACUAUUAUUAACUUUUUCAUAUAUUACUCCCGUCCCAUACUAAGUGCAGCUCUGUAGUACCCUAGUAAGUACAACUCUGUCAUUCAAUUUGCGAUGGAGGUAGUAGCUUUUUUUUUUUUUGGAGAAUGGUUUUUAUCUCUUUGUAGUUGAAUCCACCCCAAGUACUUCACAUAGUUGGAUUGGUUGACCGGUGUUAUUUUGAACCAAAAAUAAUAAUAAUGCUAGUAGGAGCAUUUUCUUUAUGUUGUAUUCUUUGACUUACUAUAGGAAUGAUGCGGUGUUUAGCAAAACUUUAAUUAAAACAUAUUUGCAGGUAAUCUUUGGAGCGGCUUACUGGUUAAGAUUUUGGGCUCAGUUGCAAAGGUGCGAUGAUGAUAAAGAGCACAUCAUGCAGAAGUCUAGAAGUUAAUGUCACGUAGAUUUUCAUCAAAUUUUGAUAGAGAUUUACUAAUAGGUUAUCCAAUAAAUGAUGUAUCUCUAUAUAUCUUUGUCCGGUGAUUACUGAUUAAUAGUUGAUCUUUCAAGCUUUGUGGGGGUAAGAGCAAGAGUGUGAUGCAAAGUUUGUAAUAAUUGCUUGCAAUUUCUUUUUAAAUAAAGCCCGGGUGAUUUCAUCCAUUAUAAAAAAAAUAAUGUGUAAAAUAUUUACUUUAGAAGCAUGUAGUAAUUUCAUGUUCCUUGAAAAAAAUAUCUAGAUGUAUCAAAAUUUU